UUCUGUCACUGACUGACGGGAGCACUAAGUCCUUCCUCCUGGCACCCCGCCCCCUUCCUUCUGCCUCCUCUUCACCCCAGCACCCCGGGAACAGGUUUUCUUAUUUCUUCCUUUCCUAUUUGAGUCAGGGUAAAAAGGGUGAGUACCGUAACCAGCCAGGGUGCCAUGGAGUGUAAGUUAGGAAUGCCGACCUUGCCCUCUGGACCAAGACUUGGCUUUCUCUUGGAGCUGGGGGGGGUGCAAGGCACUGUUUCCUGGCAGUCAUUGCCUUCAACACUCUUGACAAGUGUGGCUGGGUUGUUGAGGAGAUACAUCGGAAUGUGAUUCAAUUGUCUCAGUGAUAGGUUGCAUGUGCCUCAAAUAUAUUUAAAAAAAUAGUCAUUUUUUUUUCUGGCCUCCAAAAUCUUUUCACCCAGCACUGUCUUUGCCUCCAGUGUUCAGUGGGUAAAACAUGUCCUGCGUCAUGUCCAGCCAGGCAUACAAGUUCACUGAGUGCAGUAAAGCCCACUGCAGUCACAGAGGAGAGCUCCCUCCCUGCUAAAACUGUACUGCUGUCCUUCGCCAGUUGGUUGAGGGGAGGAAAAACAAUCAAACCACUUAACGAAAGGAGAGGAAGGGCUUUGCCUCUGCUUCUGUGUUCAGUUAUUAGAGCUGCCCCAGUGGUGGCGGAGACCGAUAUACGAUGGCGGGGUAUCUGCAUCCUCUUCCUGCUAUGACUAUGAGCAUCUCCAAAGGGGAUCUUGUCAUUUGAGAUUUCUAUCUCCCUGUAGCUUUGUGCAAUCUUGAUUCUGGUCCAAAGACGAUGGAUCUCAGAGACACUGGUGAAGAAAAAGCAGAGAGCUGUGUUGUGAGGGGCUGGACUUCAGAUCAACCCAUGCAAUGCUUGGGCUUGCCAGUGCAGUCCUUCCUUAAUUCUGUCACAAUAGAAAGGUAUUCACUCUCAUUUUUCUUCCCCGGGUACACCCAACAUCUACAGUGACAGUUUACACGGAGAAAUGAAUUACUCACUUUAUAAACAGUUCGACAUAUCUUUUGCUGAGCCAACGUGAGAGAGGUACUUACAUACAGGAAAAAAGAUGUUUCCCUGGGGUUUCACAGCCAGGGUGGGAAUAAUAGCUUAUUCCUUAUGGCUUAGCAUAAGAGCAUUGCAAUUCAUUAUAACUUCAAUUUGGAGGAAAUUUACAAGACGAAAACAAGAAAGCUAGCCAGAGUGCACUGUAUUAAUCCUUCCAUUCUUUCUGCAAAAGAUCAUUUGGAACCCCUCCAGCCUUUGUCUUUAUUUCCCUUCCAAUGGGUCCUAAAUUUGCACAGAAGGAAAAUAGAUGAGACAGACUCAUGUGCUUUCUCAAGGUGUUGUACACAGGCACAGGCUACUGAGGAAUUAUAAUACAAAUAUACUAGGGUUCCCAAGGUCUUCGAAGCACAAAGAUCCAGGAAGCUACUGUCACGAUUCUCUUAAAGAAAUAAAGAAAACCCUUACAUAUUGACCCGGAAGCUGAGGGAUUUUUCUAGACUACAAACAAAAUGAAAGCUGGCAACUAUACCUAACAUAGGCCAAAGAAGAGGUAGGCUGACACCUACCAACACCUUGAGGGAAAACUCUGAGUAUGAAGUAUUCAUUACAGAGUAAACAGAGGACACUGGAGAGAACCACUUGUCAUUUAAACUAAGGAAGCAGGCCAGUCAUUAAAAUGUAUCAGUGUGGAUGACCUGCUGUGUGGAGCAAUUUUGAAAGUGGUAUUUAAAACUUGGGAUUGAUGUUUGUCCCUUGUAAGUGAAGAAUUGCUUGUUUGAAAAUUAUUUAUUCAGCUGGGCAGUGGUAGAGCACACCUUUAAUCCCAGCAUUUAGGAGGCAGAGACAGGCGGAUCUCUGGAACUUUUUUGAGGCCAGCCUGCUCUACAGAGCGAGUUCUAGGACAGCCAGAGUGGUUACACAAAGAAACCCUGUCUCAAAAACAAACAAACAAACAAAACACAAAAAAUCCCACACAAAACCCAAAAACAAACAAAUAAAAAAUAAAAACAAAACAGAAAAACACAAACAAAAAAAACCCAAAAAGAAUGGAAAAAGAAAAUUAUUUAUUUAUAUAUCUACUUUUGCAUGUGUCUGUUUGGGUAGUGUGUUUGUAUGUGUGCGAGCACAUGUGUGGGUAUGUGUCGGGGUACACAUGGAGGAGGCUCAAGGCUGCACAUUGUUUAUUGAGAUAAGGUCUCUCUGUUGAACCCGGAACUUGCCAGUAUGGCAAGCUAGCCUGCUUGCUCCAAGGAUCCUCACCUCCACCUUUGCUGUUAUGCACCCUGCUUCUGUGUGGGUGCUCAGGAUCUGAAUUCUCAUCCUAAUCCUUACCUGAUAAGCGUGUGGUUCACUGAACCGUCUCUUCAGCCCCAACACUUGCUUUUUUGAUAGUAUCGAAAUACAGACAACAUAUGUAGAAAAUUGCCUUUGUGCAUAAUUCGUGGCUCUUUUCAGUAUGGAAGAAAGUUUAGCCCACUUUUACAUAAUAGACUUAGAUACAUUAUAAAGUAUCCCAGCGAAGCCGAAUCAAACCUUAGAAUCUUGAGCUCCCUCUAAAAGUGAGAGUUGACAUGAUCGUUGCUUUCCUAGCAACAGGAUUUGGGGCUAGGAGUAGACCCAAAAAGAAAAAGAAAAGCAAUGCCACAUAAAAGAACAGAAAAGAUGCCAAGAGAGAUGUCAGUGCAUGACUCUGCUGGAGGGUGGUUCGUAGAAUGUAUGAAUUCAAUGCUUCCAAACUUCCUUUCUCCUUGAAUUCUGAGCCCAAUCCCUAGGGAGCUGAGCAGAUGAAUCAAAGCAAAGGACACCAACCCUAGGAGCCCGGGCAGCAAUCAAGGUGACGUAUGUGUACCUCUUCCCAAUGUUGUGUCCUUUACGCAGUGAUUUGGAGCAGCCCAGAAAAGGGCCUCUGUAGGAAUGCAUCACUACGUGUUGUGAGCCAAAUUUUUGUCCCUUCUCAAUUCAAAAUCCGCCUGCUAUAUUAACAAGGUACUUUGCCACAUUCUCGCUACAUUUGGUAGUGAAUUAUCCAUUGUGAUUAUUGGCAGAGUAAAUGUUGGCAUCUAGACUCAACUUCCACAUCACUAGGGCUGUUAUCCCUGGCAGCUCCCUCCCAUGACUAAGCUCCGAUUUCAGGUAACAAUGUGCUAUUUAUCACCAGCUCCCUUUAAGAAAUUUGCCAUUUUAGUUUGUUUUCUUUUAAGCUAAACACAUAUGUUUGGUAUAUUUAUACACACACAGCCUCACUUUGAAAGUCUUCUCCCGUGCGAUGGAAAUUUCAUUUUGCACCUGAGUUAACCGAACAGCCACAUGGACAAAAUGAUUUUCUUCUGUACAGAAAUGUAGCAGCUCCAGGCUCUGAGGGACUGUCCAGCACUAGGAAAGUGCAGGCCUAGUUGAAGCAGUCUGUGAGGGUGGACCACCUGGAAGUAGCCAUUUUGAAGCUGUCCAGGAUGCAGAUUUUGAGGGGACACCUGGACCUGGCAGGAUGCUGGCAGAAGAUAAAGAAAAGGCAAAGAAUGGACCUCAAGAAAUUAGAAUUUCCUCCGGUAAUCUUCUGCUGGGACAAGAAGGGCUGUGUCAGAGGAAGAACUGCCAGAAGAUCUGAAACCUUAUCUCUCCUUGUAGGAGAUACUUGGAGCUGAGGCAGUGGUGGGCUUAGAUGUGCGUAACUCUUGCUUUCUCUUUAAACCCUCAAGUGAAGAUCACCCCCUACAUGAUCAGUUUGGGGAGGUCUCUGGGAUCUUUGGCCACAUUAAAGAAAUCUCUCCUUUCUGCUUUUCACAAUUCGUUUGCCUCUUUUAACUGUUUUCUUAAGGAUGGGUGGCCAAACCUGG